CCAUGCAGUGGUUGACUACUGUAAAACUUGCGCUUCUGAAAGGUCGUCAUCCACUUUUGAAAGACGUGGAUGUUACUGUUAACCCUUCAAAGGGCUUAGUUUUUUCGGAAGCCAGAGCACCUGAAAAAAGUAUCGGGGCCAGAAAAAGACGGUGAAUGGUUACCAUGUAGAUCCUUUCAGGGAAACACUUGAAGACAGUGACAUCACCCCAAACUCAAAUUUGUUGACUGGAACAGAUUUAGAAAAGAAUGUCAAAGUCGAUAAUGGAUAUGAUGAAACAGAAAAUAGUAGAGUUUCAACAAGCAGUCUUGUUGAAGUUGAAUCAAUCGAAGAUAAUGAGUCUAACGUAGAAGAAAGUGAAAGAGGUCAACAUGCUGGAUGUAACCAUGCCUGGCACCCUAAAAGAUGAAGAGAAGAAAAAGUGAUCGUUUCCUUCCUGACAAGGCAAUUGACUUAAUUGAUGAAGCUGGUUCUCGGGUUCGACUUCGUCAUGCACAGGUCCCGGAGGAAGCUAGGGAGCUUGAGAAAGAGCUUAGGCAGAUAACAAAGGAGAAGAAUGAAGGUCCGUGGCCAAGACUUUGAGAAGGUACAUAUCGUUUGCAUGCAUGAGGAAGACUACAACGAGGCUCUCAAGCAUACUCAUUCUGGAGGAACCAUGGAUCUGCAUGCUUUGAAUGUUCAGAUAUUCAUAAAGAUGCAUAGGUCAGAUUAUGCUGAGAAACAGCUGAGAGUGAUGCAACAGAUUGAUGAAGACCACACAC